GGGCCCGCACAAGCGGUGGAGUAUGUGGUUUAAUUCGAUGCAACGCGAAGAACCUUACCAGGGUUUGACAUCCUGCGAAUCUCUUGGAAACAGGAGAGUGCCUUCGGGAACGCAGUGACAGGUGGUGCAUGGCUGUCGUCAGCUCGUGUCGUGAGAUGUUGGGUUAAGUCCCGCAACGAGCGCAACCCACGUCUUUAGUUGCCAGCAUUUAGUUGGGCACUCUAUGGAAACUGCCCGUGAUAAGCGGGAGGAAGGUGUGGAUGACGUCAAGUCAUCAUGCCCCUUAUGUCCAGGGCUGCACGCAUGCUACAAUGGCAAGUACAACGAGUCGCAAUACCGCGAGGUGGAGCAAAUCUCUUAAAGCUUGUCUCAGUUCGGAUAGGAGUCUGCAACUCGACUCCUUGAAGUUGGAGUCGCUAGUAAUCG
rnacentral:rRNA from 1 species